GAGACAACCAAUCUCACUCCCCAGCGGCAGUGGGAGCUACCGGGAGAGGUCUGCCUCCCCGACCAAAGGGGACCACAGCCAUAACCCCGAUGGUGCAGAUGGGACCGCGGUCUCUGCACCAGACCUACAGGAAUGCUGGACGGCCGAUCCAGAUCCCCAACCAACCCCACAGGAAUCCCUGGAGUAAGAGGUAAGCGAUCCCUCCUCCUCUCAGCCAAUCCACAACCCAGUUCUGGGGGUAGUGCUCGCUGACCCCAUCCCAGCAGAAGAGCUGGCAUCUGGGCAGAGCGCAGGUAGCCUCUGCCCUCCCUUUUCCCCUUGUCC